rnacentral:rRNA from 1 species
CCUACGGGAGGCUGCAGUGAGGAAUAUUGGUCAAUGGGCGGAAGCCUGAACCAGCCAAGUAGCGUGCGGGAUGAAGGCCCUACGGGUCGUAAACCGCUUUUGCACGGGGAUAACACCCUCCACUUGUGGAGGUCUGCAGGUACCGUGCGAAUAAGGGCCGGCUAAUUCCGUGCCAGCAGCCGCGGUAAUACGGAAGGCCCGAGCGUUAUCCGGAUUCAUUGGGCUUAAAGGGAGCGUAGGCGGGCGUUCAAGUCAGCUGUAAAAUCGCGCGGCUCAACCGCGCCCCGCAGUUGAAACUGGACGCAUUGAGUUCACAACAGGCAGGCGGAAUUCGUGGGGUAGCGGUGAAAUGCAUAGAUAUCACGAGGAACCCCGAUUGCGAAGGCAGCCUGCCGGGGUGCGACUGACGCUGAGGCUCGAAGGUGCGGGUAUCAAACAGGAUUAGAUACCCGGGUAGUC